UUAAGUCAUCAUGUUGUUUAAUUUCCCUUUGCCCCAAGACACAUUCAUAACUUUAGGGCUUAAUAAAUAACUAGAUCCCUUUAGUUUCACUAAUGUAAUCUGAAUACCAACCUAUCUCUAGAUUUGUGAUUACAGCUAAACGCCAUGAUCUUUAACUAUUGAAGGCAGAAAAUAGGAACUACUGCACUAAUCUCUAAACCAAAGAGAUGUUAUGUAGCUUCAAAACUGAUACAAACUUGCUAACUUGCAUAAUGUGGCACAACCAAUGAUACAUCUAAGAACACAUCUCCCACACCAUCAAUCACAAAGAAGGAUUGUUGUACUACAACUGUAAGAUAGUAUUUACAUUACACAAGCACAAACCGUGACUUAAAACUUGGUAGUACUAACAUCACACAAGGAGUGACUUAACACCUGUAUCAUUUGGCUUUGACUUGUGGGUAUUGUGGUGGUCCUGUAGAGGUACUGUAGCACAAUCCUGUAACAGUAACAAGUGGUUAGGAUUUUGUGUGACUGGAGUUUCAUGAUCCAUGUAUGCAUACACACACAUUUUGUCUUUAAAACAUUAAAAAAAGACUAAACUAGCCCUUAUUAAAAUUAUUUCUAGUAACUAAUAAUUUUUAUAAUUUUGGCUUCAUUUAAAUAAAAUCUGCUGAUUCUCUGGUUCCUAGUACACCCAAAUCAGGUUUAAUUGGACUUAGCAUGAUUAUUCUACCCAAAUCAAUAUAUUAGCUGAUCAGUUAAAAAUUUUCCUGAUUUUUUCUGUGUAAAAUGAAUAUCCCAGGUCAAUACCUCCUAAAUUGGAAGAGGUUAACUCUGAACUGAACUUAACCGAACCAGAUUCUUUGGAAGUGAUUGCAGAAUCAAAUUCAGCAAUAGAUGUUGCAAAUGCAGAAGGGACCCCACAGUUGGAUGUGAAAGCUGGAGAAGACAAAGCUACUGCUACGAUUGCAGAAGAGUGGGAGCAGCUGAUUGUCAAUGAAGUCCCAAAUAUAUACUCCCCCAGUUGUAUUUGCAAACCCAAGUUGGAGCAAUCAGUUCUAUUACCAUCAGAUAGUACUAGACAGUUAGAUGUAAAAACUUCCAGGAUCUUAGAGAGGCUGGAGAUCCCAAGACAGUUGAAGAAGAGGGCACUUUCACCCAUUAUCACAAACAGCAUCAUGGCUGAUGGAUGUGCACUGAUGAAGAAGCCUCUAAUUCCAUUCCAGCCUAUUCAUGUAACAGCAGCAGGCCGAGCCUCCAUUGCAAGCAAACCAAUGAAACCCAACUUUCAGAGGAAACAUGGAUAAAAGAAGGGUGCUCACAUUUAGUUCCUGAAGGUAUUCUUGUGGAAAAGGUCCAUGAGGUUAGUGGCUCUUUGCUUUCUAUUUGUUUGUUUUUACUAUUUCUGCAAACAUGCUAUAUUCUCAACCCAUGAAUGAGAAGGUGCUCUAACAAAAUGUUUACAUCAUUGAGGGUGAAAAUGAAUGAAAAGCAACAAAAUAUUCCAUGAUAGACUCAGUUCUGAAGUGAGUUCUUAACCUGAAACAUUUCCUGUGAGUUACUGCCCUACCAAUUCCAUGAUCCGGGUUGUUAGAGUGAAAAGUUCUGGUUUAGUUUAACUUGUUUCUGUCAUCUGUUACUGAUAAAGCCAAAUUUCCUGUGUUCCGAGAGGGAGAGAAAACAGACUGAAAUAGCUUUUAUAUGUCAGAUAUAUUUUCAUACAUGUACAAAUGCCUCUUUGUGAGCUUCCUACUUUCUACUUCCUAAUUUCAUUUGAACUAUGAAACGAUUACUCAAACACUACAAUCUGUAACAUAUAUACAAAUUGAACACCAAUGCAUCUUAAUGCAGGAUUAAGAUUCUUCUCUUAGAUUUUUGUAACCUUUUUUGAGAUGUUCAGCUUGCAUGGCUCCUUAUUAAGGAAUUUCUCCUCUUGUUUUGAUCAGGUUUGUAUAUUAUGGAAGAAAUCUUUUUAUUUAAUAGAAAAUAUCUAUUGUGUUUCUGAUUAAAAAAAUCACAAUGGAGUGAGUUAUUAUUCCAAGGACUUUCCUGUGCGUUACUGCCUAUCAAUUCCUUUAUCCAAGCUGUUUGAGCAAAAAAUUCUAGUUUAGCUUAGGUUCUCUCUGGUAUCAGGAUAACCGGAAUUCCUUUGUUCUGGGAGAGAGUUAAAGAAGAGAAUGCAAUAACUUUCAUAGGUAUAUUCUCAUACACAUCUUUUCCCUUUCGUUGACUUGCUACUUCCAAUUUCCUAAUUUCAUUUGGACUAUGAAAUAUACUCACCAAAAAACAUUCUAUGACAUAAGUUGAAUAGCAAUGUCAAAUGCAUGAUGGACUGCAUGGACAUUUUUAGCAGGCCUCUGGAAAUAAUCUGAUGGGAGACUGAGGAGAGGGUGAGCAGAGAGGAAGAUGGUAGUAGUGGAAGCGUCUCUAGACAAUUUCUUGAUGGGAGACUGAGGAUACGUACAGACACAACAUGCAUUAAGGUUGUUCAAUUCGAGCUAUUCGAAAUUCCAUUGGAAUGGGCUUGAAUCUCUUAGGGAUGCAAAAUUCCCAAAAACCUUUCCACAAGCCUAUUAGGUUAAGAAUGUGGAAAAACAAUAUAAACCCACUAAAGGUGUCCAUGGACACCUUUUGUUUUUCUCACUGAUUUGUGUUUGUUGUGAAACUGUGUUGGAAGUUUCUCUCUUUUUUCCGUUUACCCUUUUUCCUGUCUAUAUUAAAUAAGCUUUGUGUUGACCGCCAAAAUACGACCUUUUAUCAUGCACCUGAUGCGAACAAAUUAACGUCUUAUUCCAAGGCAAAAGCCAAGUUUUCCAAUAUGGUAUAUCUACUGUUGGAUUCUCUGUUCUCCAAGUGCUAAAUUGUCUGUUAAACUUCUUGGCCUCUAUCCGAUUUUGAUCAAUCUCCUAAGAAUGAGUGGAGUUAUGGGCUAAUUUUAAGCGUGGCAGUCAGAAGUCGUGGCUGAACUACAGCCUUGCUUCUGUAUACGGACUUAAACUAAGCUGUAUCCUUGUUUGUUUUUACUUUUUCUUUUUCAAACUUAAAAGUUUUAAACUUAACUCUGUCGUUAUUUCUUAGCUUUGUUACUUUUUUUCAAGACAAAUUUGUUGAUUUUUUUUUAGGUGUUUGAUUAAGUUUAAUCCUCAUGCUUAAUAAGUUGAGAUAAUUUUAAGAAUUUAUUUGUUUUAUUUUUUAUAUGUUGUUUUAAGACUUGAGGAAUUUUUACAUGUUUUGAGAAACCUAUUUUUAAAUCUUUUAAAUUAAAAAACUGUUUGAAGUUCAGUUCCAAAAAAUGGGCCCCACACUGUUGUUCAUUCCUUCUUGGGAUAGUCCAGAGGGCUGCUGGUCAGCGGAUUUGGAGGCUGUUGCUAGUCCCAUCUCCCAUGGUUAUUCUUUCGGAUUUCAACCAAUAGCCUCCAGGAGGAACAGCACUGGAUUGAGCUGUUGCUGUAUCGAUUCAGGACGCGAAAGAAUAUAUAUAUGUUACAAGGUGAGAAAAGUCACCAGUAGGGGUAACCCAUGUCGUCUGCUAUGUAGGUGUUUCUCUUGUAUCUUAAGCUAUGCGUGCAAAAUUCUUUCUUUAAAAACAUGUUGAUCGGGUUCUAGCUAUGGGAGAUGUUGGAAAUACUUUUUUGAAAAGUUUGGGGUGGCUUGUACUUGUAGUUAGUAGGGAGGAAUACGAUGAAAGAUGAAGUAAAGAAUCUGACGCAACCCAUAUCAUACUCACCUUUAUAAGUGCGAUAAUUUUUGGCGGAGGAGAUGUAAUCCAAGCAGCCAAUUAACAGUGAGCAACUUUAUGGAAGUGCACAGUGACGAGACUCACAACAGUAUUUGUGACAUCCCAGGCUGAUUGAGAAGAUAAAUUUCAGACGUUUAGAUAUGUUUUAUUUUAUUUAAAAUUGAGAGUUUAGAAUGAGUGGUUGUUCUGACUAUUAAUCCAGUCCCAUAAACACGAUAAGGAUAUCCUAUUUGCAGGAUAUAGUGAUGUCUUGGCCACAGGAUAUAUCGAUAUGGAUGAAGAUCAAAUAAAUCGUGGAUUUUAGUGGGAAUGGUCCGCGUCUUGUACGCCUUGCUCUUUGCUUUUAAUGUGGGGAUUGAUAUUUCCUUUUCCGUGCUCCACUGUUCUUAGGAUGCUAGAAAGUAGGAAGAGUUAUGGCUAGUAUCACCUUUAAAAUUUUGUUUCUGAAAAUGUGUCAAAGUUCACAAGACAUGAAGAGAAUUCAAAAAAC
rnacentral:lncRNA from 1 species